UCACUGCCAGACAGAAACUACGAUACAAAGUCACAUCGAAACCUGCUCUAAGCAUGCACAGUGGCCCCAAUUUACAGAAUGACAAUCUUACUGAACCUGAAAGAACUUUUGGGUGCACUUUGCUCCUAAGUGCACAGACCCUACAAGUGCUCAGAGACAGGCAGAGCCCACGGAUGCUGGUCAGAGAAGAAGGUCACCAGGGAGACGCAAAUCAACAGGCCUAGCAGUAUACUCUGGACUUAAGAGACAUACACAGGAGAAAAAUGCAGGUGAAGAUGAAGGCAGAGACCUCCAAGGCAAGGAAUGCCAAAGCUUGCCAGCAAACCACCAGAAACGAGGGGAGAGUCAUGGAACAGAUCCUACCUCACAGCUCUCAGAAGGAACCAACUCUGGCACACGUUGACCUUGGACUUCUAGCCUCCAGAAAAUUACCUGACGUUCAACCUCUGCUUGGUUUGGAGCCUUUCCACUGACUGUGUACCUGGCAUUUCAGCCUAUUCAUCCCCACAAUGUGCCAAUGUCACUGAACUCCCUUGGAGGGCCUGAGAAGAAAACUGCCCUAGUUUGGACUGGAUGAUUCACAUAUAUUUGAGGUUAUCAACAAUAAACCCUAGUUCUUAAAGGAGGAGACAGCCAGAAGAUUAAUACAAAGGUUCCAAAGGGGUCAUGGAGGACCAGCGCUCGCCAGAUACUGCAAGGUAGACCUGAGACCCAAGGCAGUUGCCUGAAGUCACACAGCCGGUAAACUGGGGAGCUGGGAUUGGAACCCAGGUAGUUGGGGGAUGUACAGUGCGC